CCCAGACUUCUUGCACAAAUUUGGAGAAACUAAUUUUUAGAAAGAAAAAAAAACAAGACUGUUCUAAACAAAAAAACGUCCGCCUAUACCUAUCAGCGAAAUAUGACAUAUAGUUAGCUUUUCGUUAUGACAUUACAUUACUGAAUAUCACUGUAACUUAAAGGGGCAUUAGCUGUCCAAUUCGUGUUCCCCAAUUUGACUCAAAUUUUAUAUCUUAUUUUUAGCAAACUUAAACGUAUAUCCAAAUUAUAGAAUAGUCCAA
rnacentral:lncRNA from 1 species